UGAAAUACAAAAAAGUAAAGCCAGAACUGAAGUACAUGCACCAAAGGUAUAGUUUACUGAAGGUCAAGUGAAAUACAGUAAACCAAAGCCAGAACUGAGGUUGGCACACCAAAGUUAUAAUUUACUGAAGGUCAAGUGAAAUGCAGUAAAGCAAAGCCAGAACUGAGAUUCGCGUGCCAAAGGAAUAGUUUACUGAAGGUCAAGUGAAAUACAGUAAAGCAAAGUCAAAACUGAGGUUCGUGCGCCAAAGGUAUAGUUUACUGAAAGUCAAGUGAAAAACAGUAAAGCAAAACCAGAACUGAGAUUUCUGUGCCAAUGGUACAGUUUACUGAAGGUCAAGUGAAAUACAGUAAAGCAAAGCCAGAACUGAGGUUCACGCGCCAAAGAAAUAGUUUACUGAAGGUCAAGUGAAAUGCAGUAAAGCAAAGCCAGAACUAAGGUUCGUGCACCAAAGGUAUAAUUUACUGAAGGUCAAGUGAAAUACAUUAAAGCAAAGCCAGAACAGAGGUUUGCGCACCAAAGAUAUAGUUUACUGAAGGUCAGGUGAACUGCAAUAAAGCAAAGCCAGAACUGAGGUUCACACGCCAAAGGUAUAGUUUACUGAAGGUCAAGUGAAAUACAAUAAACGAAAGCCAGAACUGAGGUUCGCUCGCCAAAGGUAUAGCUUACUGAACGUCAAGUGAAAUACAGUAAAGCAAAGCCACAACUGAGGUUCACGCGCCAAAGAUAUAGUUUACUGAAGGUCAAGUGAAAUACAGUAAAGGAAAGCCAGAACUGAGGUUUUCUCACCAAAGGUAUAGUUUACUGAAAGUCAAGUGAAAUACAGUAAAGCAAAGCCAGAACUGAGGUUCGCGUGCCAAAGGUAUAGUUUACUGAAAGUCAAGUGAAAUAUAGUAAAGCAAAACCAGAACUGAAGUUCGCACGCCAAAAGUAUAGUUUACUGAAGGUCAAGUGAAAUACAGUAAAGCAAAGCCAGAACCGGGGUUUGCACACCAAUGGUAUAGUUUACUGAAGGUCAAGUAAAAUACAGUAAAGCAAAGCCAGAACUGAGGUUCGUGCGCCAAAGGUAUAGUUUAACAGUAAAGCAAAGUCAGAACUGAGGUUCGUGUGCCAAAGGUAUAGUUUAGUGAAGGUCAAGUGAAAUAUAGUAAAGCAAAGCCAGAACUGAGGUUCACGUGCCAAAGGUAUAGCUUACUGAAGGUCAAG